rnacentral:rRNA from 1 species
AUGGUAUCAGCUCCGGUGCUAGCCCUCCCAGAUUUCACUAAGACUUUUGUCAUUGAGACAGAUGCGUGUGAUGUGGGAAUUGAAGUAGUGUUAACACAAGACAGACACCCUCUAGCGUAUGUCAAUAAGGCCCUUGGACCCAGGAACCAUGCUCUAUCAUUUUAUGAGAAGGAAUACGUGGCAAUUCUUCUUGCUGUGGAACACUGGCAUCAGUACGUAGAGUUAAGUGAGUUUGUUAUUAAGACUGACCAUAGAAGCUUGACCAGCUUAUCUGAUCAGCACCUGCACACCCCCUGGCAACAGAAGGCGCUAACCAAGCUCAUGGGUCUCCAAUAACAAAUUGUUUACAAGAAAGGUUACGAAAAUAAUACUACUGAUUCAUUAUCUUGGAGACCUCAUUCUGAUGCAGAGUUGCAAGUUGUCUCAACAAUGCAACCACUCCAGCUUUCUGAAAUCAUGUCCAUUUACAAUCAAGACCCCUUCUACAAGCAAAACUGCAACAUCUGGCUACUGAUCCUGCAUCAGACAGUAUUUUCUCCCUCAGAAAUGGACAAUUGUGUAUUGAUAAUUACAUUUGGGUCCGUCCUGAUAUCCAGCUCCAACAGAAGAUUGUGUUGGAAUUCCAUGAUUGAACUUUGGGGAGUCACUCAGGAUUCCCUGUGA